CAGGGGUAGACAUAUAGCCUUAAGGGUGACGCUGGAUUGGUGGUUGUGUGAAAAGAAAAAUAAAACGACAUUCUGUUAAGCACACGAUGUCUUCUCAGCCAGAAACUUUGCGUCGUAGGCAGAAUUUGGUUAAAGAAAAAAAUGAAAGGAUACGAGCAUCUUGCAAGUCCUGCCUUGCUGUGGGGUCAUGAGAAGCAACAGCGCAAAAAAAAAGGUUGACAAAAAAUGUAGAAUAUAAAAAGAAGUAAAAAUAAAAAAUUUAAUAGAAAUUGGAAACUGGAAUGCAGAUAAGCUGAGGGAGGCAUAUGAUAGGUUUGAGUGAGACCAGACAAUUUGUUGGCAAGGCAUAACGUAGAGGUGCAAGGUAGGGCAUAUUGGCUAACUAAAUAAUUGUAAUUCACAAAAUAAAAACCAAUUCCAACAAGUUAUUUCAGCUCACUACAAAUUUAACAUUGUGCUAACAUUUAUGGAAGCGCUAACAUUCGGCUAACAUUGAAGCCAAUGUGCAUACAUAUAAGCCGGACAAAACAUAUGUUAGGGUAUUGCAAGUAUUUGACAAGCCAGACGAAAUGUGCCGGCAGCAUAGCAGUAAACUGAAGCGAAAUGAGAACAGACGGAACAUCCUCAUAAUCGUCAUUCACAUAGUCGUCGCCAUUUGCAGCAACCCCUUUUUCAGUGGGGUGCAAAACACUUUUUACAGCCUCUGCUUCUGCUUCUGCUCCUGCUUCUGCUGUGGCCUCUGCAUCCCCAAGGCGUGCAGCACAUAGACCGGCGACAUGGGAAAUGAAUGAGAGCUGACGGAGAGACGGCAACAGCGACAGCGUCAGCGUCAGCGACAGCGAAGGCGACGUUGCUGGCACAGACAUGCCGCAGAAUGCAAUCAACUUGAAAACUACUUGAGAAUCUGAGCGACGAUAUCGCUCAGGCAAAAGGGCAGAAACUGAAUCAGUCAACUCUUAACUUUGAUAUUUCAGUAGGAGAGAAAGAGAGGGAGAGAGCGCGCACAGUGCGAAUAGGCUAUGUUAAACGGGUUUGGCUAUUGGAGUUCAAAGUUGGACAUACUAAAUAAAUAGAUGCAUGCGCUUCUGAUAAGCUUAAGUCAACACAAUAAAGUUGUACAAUUAGCAUUAUUAAAUUAUAAUAUUUUUAGUAGUCACAUAUAAGAAAUUAUUAAUCGUAGUAUACUAUAAUCGUAAUUAUAAAACUUGACUUUGAAAACUAUUGAUAAUAAAAGCAUUGAAACCGAAA